AUGCAUGGUGCUAACCCCGGACUUGUCAGAAUACUGUCCUCUGAAGCAGCCCCAAUGCCUGUGCUACAUCCACUGUGCCAUUCAGUGUUGCAGGUCAUGAUGCUUCAUGCAAUUGGUCUGUGUCAGAGCAAUGGAUACAUUU
rfam:Oryza brachyantha chromosome 8, whole genome shotgun sequence.